ensembl:lncRNA
CUUUAAGGCAGCAUGUUCAAGGUGCACGUCAAAAGUUCCACAAGUUUGUUCCCCCGACUUUCCCACUGACUCACCGCCUGACCAGAGACUGCUCACUGAAACUCCCUGGGCCGGUUUCAUGAUCAUGUGUAAAACAGGGUUAAUGAGAUCUGCUUCCCCAGGGCGCUGCAAGAACCAAGUUAUGGUUUGCAAAAGGCUUUGUGACUCAUACAUAAAAGGCUGUACAAGAAAGUAAACUGUCAUUGAGCCUUACAAACAGUUUUCAUCCCAAUUAUCCUAGUCAAGAGAGAAGGCUAUCCUAAGCUUUCAAAAGAUAAUUCAAUUAGCAUGAAGUUCCGAGAAUUUUCAAAGCUCAGGUGCUGACUCAGGUUUUUUGUCUUUUUUUUUUUUCUAGGAAUCAGAAAUGUCAUUCAUAGAUAAGUGCAGGGAGGAGCAAAAUAGAAAGACAGGAAAUUCUUGGCUCUGGGAUCUGGUAAUAAGGGAGCCUGCCACUUUCAAAUUACCUGCUGGAAUCCAGCUCAAGACAAUUAUAGAUGAAAAAUCUUCCUGAUCUUCAGCCACCUACCCAAAAUUGAUGUUGGUUUUACACUUCCUAAAGUUGGAGCAAUGAUUUUCAUGACUUAGGGGAAAGGUAUCCAGUAGAUUCAAGAAGAUCAGGAAGCUUCUCCUGGAAAAAUACUAAAAUUCCAGUUUCUCAAAAAUCUUGGCAGAUUUCCACUAUAGGAAACCCCAUUGUCCAGAGUGGCAGAACCAUCAUUAUCCUAACAGCCAGGAUCCGAUUCUUCUUGAAGAACCGUCCGUCCUGUUGGGGAACUGCUUUGAUAAGCUCUUGGGGUUGGAAGAUGACACUUUCAGAGCACCCUUGUCAGCAGAAGCCAAGGAAACUGACAGCUAAACUUCUCUGCCACCUGCAUAAGAGGAAUUGCUGGGGAGUGGAAGGGGGACAUGGAAAGGAAAAGGAGAAGGUAACCACAGAGAACCCAGAUAGGAGAGAAAGAAAUUAGCCAACCCAGUAUGGCAAGACUGAGGCAUCUCACUGAACAAGACCACAGAACUUCCUCCAAAGACAGGUGAUGUGAAGGAAACUUCAGGGGGUAUCUGUUUUCCAAUUUGCACUUGUCCAGAUUGUUUGUUUACAAAGACCUCUGCUCACUUCCUCCCCCUUUUAUGCAUCAGGAUUUCAUACCUGUGUGUGAUGCAUGGGGAGUGAGUGUGUGUGUGUGUGUGUGUGUGUGUGUGUGUUGGAAAGGACCUGAUUUUCACAAAUGGUGACCUCAGUGUUGACAAAAUCAGCCCACACUGGAUAAUUCCCAAAACAAUUCCUGGAAAUGGGGUCCCAGAAUCAGGUGUGACCUGAGAAUAUAGGCCUUAGAAUACAUCAAGAUCUUGUUGUAAAUAUCUCUGGACUUUCACAAGGUCAGAAUGAAGUGCUCAUAACUUGAUAUCAAGCAGCUUUUGAAUUUCUAAUGCUUUGAUUACUGAAGAAGCUUGUUCAUUUAUUGAUAAUGUUCAUUAAUUUUUGGUGAAUUGUCUGCCUGCAUCUCUGCCUAAUUUUUAAGGCACUUUUUAAAAUAUUUAUAACAACUCUUUACAUAUUAAGCAUAUGAGCUCCAUGACAGAACUUUGCAAUUUUUUUCCCCUCUUUGGCUCUCGUAUUUCACUAGGAUCACUGUAUUAUUGAUAAACAUUUAUGAACUAUUUUUAUAGCUUUUAGCUUUGUUAUUAUGUUUAAAUAGACCUUCUGCACUCCAAAGGGUUUAUCCAUAUUUUUCACUAGUUUUGUAAUAAAUUUUUUAUUUUUAACUCUAGAAUUCUUCUGGAAUUUAACUUGCUGUAAGUUUAUGUAGAAUGUUGAGACUAUGUUUAUAAAUGAGAUUAGGUUUCCAGCUCUCUGUUUUGCAUCUUCAUAAUCAAAUGUGGGUAAUACUAGUUUGUAAAGUAAUGUCAGCUCUUUGUGUACCGUAUCACAGUUUAUGGAUCACAACACUGAUCUUCAUUUUUAACCUGUCCUUAACAGAGUAGGAGAGCUGACCAGCUCAGUAUUCUGCUCCAAAGCAUUUUCAGAAAAUAAUAUUUGACAAACAUUUUCAAUGUUUUGCUCAACUAUUUGUUCAUAUGCUCAGAUUCUUUUCUUCUUGAACCCCAUUUCAUGAUUUAUAUUCCCUAAUAUUCAGUCAUUUUUUGAGAUUUUUAAAUCAUUUAGGGUAGAAUUAUAAGCAAUAUUUGCUUAUAAUUUUAAAUUUCUCAUUAUUGUUAUUUCCUUUUUAUCUGGACAUCAAUUAUUUUAUUUUUGUAUUUUCUACCUUAAUUAUAAUAAUUUUUGCUCUCUGUGUAAUUUUUCCAUUCUCAUUUAAAGUUAUAUACUUUGUUAUUCUUUAC